GGCUGAAACCCGGCCCAAACCCGGCUCCCUUUUCUAACCUAAAUAUACACACACAAACACCUCCCAACACACACACAAGCUUAUCUCUCUCUAACUCUAUCUCUCGGCUCUCUCUCUCCCUACUCUCUCUGCUCUCUCUCUUUACUCUCUCUGCUCUCUCUCUUCGAUCUGCCGCCGCCGCUGCCGUUCAACGGCGCCGUCGCCGCCGGCGAGCGGCGCGGCCUCUCCUCCUCUCUCCCUGAACUCUUCCCCCCCUCUUCUCCUCUAUCUCUCUCUCUCAAUCUCGGCCGCUGGAAAGGCACAGCAGCGCAACCACGCCGCCGCUCCGUCGCCUCCGCCUCUCCUCCAUGGCAGAUCCGCCGCCGCUGCAACUGGAUCUCGGCGAGCACCGUCGACUGGAAGCCGCUGGAGCUGCUGCUGCUUCGCCGGGAGUCGAGCUGUCGCCGCCUGGAGCUGCUGCUGCUCGCCCGGAGUCGCCGCUGGCUGGCCUGCGAUCGACGGCCAGCAGCUCGCUGGAGGAGCGCCGCCGUCAGCCGCUGCCGUUGGCAGCAAGAAUCCGGCAGCCGCCUCUCCUGGAGUCGCCGUCGCCGUGAGUCGCUGUGAGGAGCCGAGCACCGUCUCACAAAGAUCGGAGACAACGGCAGGUUCACCGCCGCCGCUCCGUCGCCGGCGACGAGCCACCGCGGCUGCCGCCUCCCUCUGAUUUCGACUCACACACACAGUAGGUUCAAGCCACAAUUUAGUUCACAAAAUAGCAUAGGAUUUUGAGCAGAAAUCAAAUACUGUAAAUGCUUA